rnacentral:sRNA from 1 species
GAGUGCAUGUGCCAUAUUUAUUUUAUGAAAAACCAAGACUGAUAAAUGUAGAGUAAAAUUAGAACAUUUUUCUGGUGGUUUUUUUUUCUUUAUUUCAUUUUUUUCUUUCCUCUUUUUGGCAGGGAGUAUGCUUGCAUGU